GACGAACGCUGGCGGCGUGCUUAACACAUGCAAGUCGAACGGAAAGGCACUGCUUUUGUGGGGUGCCCGAGUGGCGAACGGGUGAGUAACACGUGAGUAACCUGCCCUUGACUUUGGGAUAAUUUCAGGAAACUGGGGCUAAUACCGGAUAGGAGCUCCUGCUGCAUGGUGGGGGUUGGAAAGUUUCGCAGGUCGGGGCUGGACUCGCGGCUUAUCAGCUUGUUGGUUGGGUAGUGGCUUACCAAGGCAUUGACGGGUAGCCGGCCUAGGAGGGUGACCGGGCUGAUGACGACUAAGGUGCGCGCCAGACUCCUACGUACCGCAGCACUGGACAAUAUUGCACCAUCAGCUGAAGCCUGAUGCAGCAUCGCCGCGGGCGGAGUAACAACCUUCGGGUUGUAUGCGGCUAUCGCCUAGGACGACGCGAAAGUGACGGUGAUGGGUACAGAAGGACCGGCUAAAUUCAUG
rnacentral:rRNA from 1 species